AGGACUUUACCUUAACUUAAAGGACCUGAGUUGCAUUCAGGAUAUGUGGGGUAAUAUCCCGCAAGUUCUA
rnacentral:tRNA from 1 species